rnacentral:rRNA from 1 species
GUCGUACGCUUCUUUUUCCACCGGAGCUUGCUCCACCGGAAAAAGAGGAGUGGCGAACGGGUGAGUAACACGUGGGUAACCUGCCCAUCAGAAGGGGAUAACACUUGGAAACAGGUGCUAAUACCGUAUAACAAUCGAAACCGCAUGGUUUUGAUUUGAAAGGCGCUUUCGGGUGUCGCUGAUGGAUGGACCCGCGGUGCAUUAGCUAGUUGGUGAGGUAACGGCUCACCAAGGCCACGAUGCAUAGCCGACCUGAGAGGGUGAUCGGCCACAUUGGGACUGAGACACGGCCCAAACUCCUACGGGAGGCAGCAGUAGGGAAUCUUCGGCAAUGGACGAAAGUCUGACCGAGCAACGCCGCGUGAGUGAAGAAGGUUUUCGGAUCGUAAAACUCUGUUGUUAGAGAAGAACAAGGAUGAGAGUAACUGUUCAUCCCUUGACGGUAUCUAACCAGAAAGCCACGGCUAACUACGUGCCAGCAGCCGCGGUAAUACGUAGGUGGCAAGCGUUGUCCGGAUUUAUUGGGCGUAAAGCGAGCGCAGGCGGUUUCUUAAGUCUGAUGUGAAAGCCCCCGGCUCAACCGGGGAGGGUCAUUGGAAACUGGGAGACUUGAGUGCAGAAGAGGAGAGUGGAAUUCCAUGUGUAGCGGUGAAAUGCGUAGAUAUAUGGAGGAACACCAGUGGUGAAGGGGGCUCUCUGGUCUGUAACUG